rnacentral:rRNA from 1 species
UACAGAGGAUGCAAGCGUUAUCCGGAAUGAUUGGGCGUAAAGCGUCUGUAGGUGGCUUUUUAAGUCCGCCGUCAAAUCCCAGGGCUCAACUCUGGACAGGCGGUGGAAACUACCAAGCUGGAGUACGGUAGGGGCAGAGGGAAUUUCCGGUGGAGCGGUGAAAUGCGUAGAGAUCCGGAAGAGCACCGGUGGCGAAGGCGGCCUGCUGGGCAGUGACUGUAAUGGUCAAUAGCUGACGCUGAGGCGCGACAGCGUGGGGAGCAAACAGG